GAACUAUAGAGUUUGAUCCUGGCUCAGAUUGAACGCUGGCGGCAUGCCUUACAUGCAAGUCGAACGGCAGCACGGGAGCAAUCCUGGUGGCGUGGCGAACGGGUGAGUAAUAUAUCGGAACGUGCCCAGUCGUGGGGGAUAACGCAGCGAAAGCUGUGCUAUUACCGCAUACGAUCUAUGGAUGAAAGCGGGGGAUCGCAAGACCUCGCGCGAUUGGAGCGGCCGAUAUCAGAUUAGCUAGUUGGCGGGGGAAAGCCCACCAAGGCGACGAUCUGCAGCUGGUCUGAGAGGACGACCAGCCACACUGGAACUGAGACACGGUCCAGACUCCUACGGGGAGGCAGCAGUGGGGAAUUUUGGACAAUGGGCGCAAGCCUGAUCCAGCAAUGCCGCGUGCAGGACGAAGGCCUUCGGGUUGUAAACUGCUUUUGUACGGAACGAAACGGUCUCUCCUAAUACGAGAGGCUAAUGACGGUACCGUAAGAAUAAGCACCGGCUAACUACUGCCAGCAGCCGCGGUAAUACGUAGGGUGCAAGCGUUAAUCGGAAUUACUGGGCGUAAAGCGUGCGCAGGCGGUUAUAUAAGACAGAUGUGAAUCCCCGGGCUCAACCUGGGACCUGCAUUUGUGACUGUAUAGCUAGAGUACGGUAGAGGGGAUGGAAUUCCGCGUGUAGCAGUGAAUGCGUAGAUAUGCGGAGGAACACCGAUGGCGAAGGCAAUCCCCUGGACCUGUACUGGACGCUCAUGCACGAAAGCGUGGGGGAGCAAACAGGAUUAGAUACCCUGGUAGUCCACGCCCUAAACGAUGUCAACUGGUUGUUGGGUCUUCACUGACUCAGUAACGAAGCUAACGCGUGAAGUUGACCGCCUGGGGAGUAGCGGCCGCAAGGUUGAAACUCAAAAGGAAUUGACGGGGACCCGCACAAGCGGUGGAUGAUUGGUUUAAUUCGAUGCAACGCGAAAACCUUACCCACUUUGACAUGUACGGAAUCCUUUAGAGAUAGAGAAGUGCUCGAAAGAGAGCCGUAACACAGGUGCCGCAUGGCUGUCGUCAGCUCGUGUCGUGAGAUGUUGGGUUAAGUCCCGCAACGAGCGCAACCCCUGUCAUUAGUUGCUACAUUUAGUUGGGCACUCUAAUGGACUGCCGGUGACAACUGGAGGAAGGUGGGGAUGACGUCAAGUCCUCAUGGCCCUUAGUAGGUGGGGCUAUACACGUCAUACAAUUUCGCUGGUUCAAAGGGUUGCCAACCCGUUGAGGGGGAGCUAAUCCCACCGAAAGCCAGUCUUAGUCCGAUCGUAGUCCGAAACCGAUUACGUGAAGUCGGGAAUCGCUGGUAAUCGUGGAUCAGAAUGUCACAGGAACACGUUCCGGGUCUUGUACACACCCGCCCGUCACACCAUGGGAGCGGGUUCUACAGAAGUAGUUAACCUAACCGCAAGGAGGGCGAGAAGAUUUAUCACGGCAGGGUUCGUGACUGGGGUGAAGUCGGUAACAAGGUAGCCGUAUCGGAAGGUGCGGCUGAUCACCUCCUUU
rnacentral:rRNA from 1 species